AUGUUUCCGGUGGCCGUGAACGCACCACAGGCCACCGAGUCUCCGCUUUCCUGCGCAGUUUGUCCCCAAAUGAGCGCAGAACUGUUUCACUUUCACAAAAAAGAAGAACUAACUUCACGUUCAUCUGACAGCCCAACAUUUAAGAGGAAGGCGGGCAGAAAGGCCGCCUACGGCGAGCCCAGGAGGUCAAAAAGAACAAAUCAGAGCCAAGAAACGGAGCUGGGGCCGUGUAGGAGAGAACCAGAGGAGACGAAAUGGCCAAACUCGGAGGAUCUUCAGAGAGUUUUACUGAGGGUGGCCAGAAAACCCAAACUGUGCCGGUGUUUUACCGGACAGACCGGGAGGAAACCAACCAGUAAAACACAGACAGCAGGACAACGAAUUGGGCAUACAUUUCACACUUUCGUGGGCCUGAUGGGUAAAAGGCUCGAUGAUCAAGGUAUGCCAACCAUGUCUUAUUUUCUGCCUAUAUCUACCUGGUAA
rnacentral:lncRNA from 1 species